AUUGAACGCUGGCGGCAGGCCUAACACAUGCAAGUCGAACGGCAGCGGGGGGUAGCUUGCUACCCCACCGGCGAGUGGCGGACGGGUGAGUAAUGCCUGGGGAGCUGCCCAAUCGAGGGGGAUACCAGUUGGAAACGACUGCUAAUACCGCAUACGCCCUGAGGGGGCAAGGUGGGGAUCUUCGGACCUACCGCGAUUGGAUGCACACGGGUGGGAUUAGCUAGUUGGUGAGGUAACGGCUCACCAAGGCGAAGAUCUCUAGCUGGUCUGAGAGGAUGACCAGCCACACUGGAACUGAGACACGGUCCAGACUCCUACGGGAGGCAGCAGUGGGGAAUAUUGCACAAUGGGGGAAACCCUGAUGCAGCCAUGCCGCGUGCGUGAAGAAGGCCUUCGGGUUGUAAAGCACUUUCAGCGAGGAGGAAAGGGGUGAUGCUAAUACCAUCAUCCUGUGACGUUACUCGCAGAAGAAGCACCGGCUAACUCCGUGCCAGCCGCCGCAGUAAUAC
rnacentral:rRNA from 1 species